rnacentral:lncRNA from 1 species
CUGGCCAGAGACUCUCAAAGUCAUCAUUCUAUGAGAUCACAUAGGAUAUUCUCUUCUCCUACAAGGAUUGAUCGAUUCCUUAUUGACCACUCACAACCUCCAUGCACACUUCACCAUACCUAGAAUAUCCUACACAUAUCUCAAAGUUGUGUGUUAGAGAAUAAACUAAAGUAAAGGUCCAUGUAUUCAAGGUACUAUGGUGAUCUCAGGUCAAAGGAUCACAUGCACCACUCUCACUAAAGAACCAUCUGUUGACAUGCUGUAAGGCUCCAUCAGAUAUUUUUUUGGCAGGUUAGUUCAGUUAACUCAUUCUCUAAUGAGCACCUACAUCUUUGUAUUAGUGUCACCACACAAGUGGUUGUGAGAUUAAUCAUCCGCUCCAUCGAGCAUACAUAGAAUGUACCAGUCUUAUCAAAAUCAUCGAUCUUUGACUC